UACGGAGGAGGCAAGCGUUAUCCGGAAUUAUUGGGCGUAAAGCGUCCGUAGGUGGCUAGUCAAGUCUGCGGUCAAAGACUGGGGCUUAACCCUGGAAAGGCCGUGGAAACUGACGAGCUAGAGUGCAGUAGGGGUAGAGGGAAUUCCCGGUGUAGCGGUGAAAUGCGUAGAGCUCGGGAAGAACAUCGGUGGCGAAAGCGCUCUACUGGACUGCAACUGACACUCAGGGACGAAAGCCAGGGGAGCGAACGGG
rnacentral:rRNA from 1 species